GCAAAAUCUAAGAAAGUUAAGUAAGUAAUGGACAACUAGACAGUGUUCAUGGAUUUAAAGUCUCAAUAGAAAAGAAAAGAAGAAAGAAAGAAAAAAGACCAAAAACAAAAACAAAGAUAAAAACCAA
rnacentral:lncRNA from 1 species